UUAUUAUUGUCACGUCAAAAAAGCGCUGCGCCGCACCGGCUGAUCGUGUUUUCCAUGGAAAAUUGAGGAAACACAGUUCUGACAGCUUGCAGAUGGAGAAUAGACUGAAGCCGGAGAGGAUUCAUAUCAAGUGCAAGUUGGUCCAAACUCAUCACCCUGAUCGUUCCGCGUGACUGCCCGUCGUAAGCUCACUGCCGCCAUGAGAGAGAAGAAACUCUUCACCCCAGGCCCUCUGGGUGUCAGCCUGAGCACCAAGCAGGCCAUGCUGGUGGACCUGGGCUCCAGGGACUUGGAAUUCAUUCAGACGGUCAAGUCCAUCCGAUCCAGGCUUGUGGAGUUAGCUGGUGUUUCAUCUGAUGACUACACCUGUGUGCCCGUGCAAGGGAGUGGUACCUUUGCUAUUGAGGCCGUUUUCACCUCUACAAUCCCAAGAACAAAUGGCAAAGUUCUCGUUCUAGAGAACGGUGCCUACGGCCGGCGUUUUGGCCAGAUUCUCAAGGUGCUUGGAGUAGACUUCAAGAUCUUAACCUUCCUGGAGAAUGAGAAGGUCGAUGUGGGUUUGGUGGAAGAGACACUACGAGGGACCCAGGGCUGGACCAACGUGGCCGUGGUGCACUGUGAGACCAGCUCGGGGGUUAUCAACCCCAUCGGAGAGAUAGGUCGACUAGUCAAGGAAUGCGUACCAGAUGCCAGCUACUUUGUAGAUGCCAUGAGUAGCUUUGGUGCUGUGGACAUUGACUUCACGGCCAGCAAGAUUGACUUCCUAGUCAGCUCAGCCAACAAAUGCCUUGAAGGUGUGCCCGGAUUCUCCUACGCCAUCUGCAGGAAAGACAAACUCACUGGGUGCAAAGGCUGGUCAAGGAGUCUAUCUCUAGACUUGGUCAGUCAGUGGGAGACACUGGAGCAAACCGGUCAGUUCCGGUUCACCCCGCCCACCCAUUGCAUGCUAGCCUUCAAACAGGCGCUGACUGAAUUGGAGGAAGAGGGAGGCAUAUCUGAGCGAAGAAAAAGAUAUAAGGAGAACAAUCGCAUCAUUUGCGAAGGAAUGAAGGCAUUUGGUUUUAAGACAUUGUUGGAUGACACACAUGACGGCUUCAUUAUAACGUCAUUCCACUACCCACAGCAUGACAAUUUCAACUUCAAAGAUUUCUACACAAGACUACAAGAAAAAGGGGUGUAAGGUGCUUUUCCUGAUGUCUUCAGGAGUUGGCAAUCAUCCGGUGACGAGAUGGCGACUUGGAUACAGUGGAAAUCACCGUUUUGGAUUUGAGAAGUUUCACAUUUCGCCAGAUCAGGAAGCAAUUCGUGGAAUCUUUCACAGCAGAUGAGGAUAACCAGAUCAGGUGAUCUACCCGGGCAAAGUGACUAAGACCGACUGUUUCCGUAUCGGCAACAUCGGCCACGUCUUCCCCCGAGACAUGCGAUAUCUCUUGCAGUGUGUGCAGGAAGUCUGCAGUGAUAUGGGAAUCCCAC
rnacentral:misc_RNA from 1 species